AUUGAACGCUGGCGGCAUGCCUUACACAUGCAAGUCGAACGGUAACAGGUCUUCGGAUGCUGACGAGUGGCGAACGGGUGAGUAAUACAUCGGAACGUGCCUAGUAGUGGGGGAUAACUACUCGAAAGAGUGGCUAAUACCGCAUGAGAUCUACGGAUGAAAGCAGGGGAUCGCAAGACCUUGUGCUACUAGAGCGGCCGAUGGCAGGUUAGGUGGUUGGUGGGAUAAAAGCUUACCAAGCCGACGAUCUGUAGCUGGUCUGAGAGGACGAUCAGCCACACUGGGUCUGAGAAACGGCCCAGACUCCGACGGGAGGCAGCAGUUGGGAAUUUUGGACAAUGGGCGCAAGCCUGUGCCAGCAAUGCCGCGUGCAGGAUGAAGGCCUUCGGGUUGUAAACUGCUUUUGUACGGAACGAAAAGCCCCGGGUUAAUACCCUGGGGUCAUGACGGUACCGUAAGAAUAAGCACCGGCUAACUACGUGCCAGCCGCCGCAGUAA
rnacentral:rRNA from 1 species